UACGGAAGGGGCAAGCGUUGUUCGGAAUCAUUGGGCGUAAAGAGCGUGUAGGCGGCCAGGUAGGUGGGUUGUGAAAACUGGAGGCUCAACCUUCAGAGGUCGACCCAAACCCCCUGGCUAGAGUCCGGAAGAGGAGAGUGGAAUUCCUGGUGUAGCGGUGAAAUGCGCAGAUAUCAGGAAGAACACCAAUGGCGAAGGCAGCUCUCUGGGGACGGUACUGACGCUGAGACGCGAAAGCCAGGGGAGCAAACGGG
rnacentral:rRNA from 1 species